UACGGAGGGUGCAAGCGUUAAUCGGAAUUACUGGGCGUAAAGCGUGCGCAGGCUGUUUGUUCAGUCCGUUGUGAAAGCCCCGAGCUCAACUUGGGAAUUGCAGUGGAUACUGGCAGGCUGGAGUACGGUAGAGGAAGGUGGAAUUCCCGGUGUAGCAGUGAAAUGCGUAGAUAUCGGGAGGAACACCAGUGGCGAAGGCGGCCUUCUGGACCAGUACUGACGCUCAUGCACGAAAGCGUGGGGAGCAAACAGG
rnacentral:rRNA from 1 species